CUCUCUCUGUUUUCAUCUCAGAAGGAAAGGGUCAGAGCAUUUGAUUAAGCAAGGAAAGAGAAACCUAGAGAGAGAAAAAUUCAGCAACUCAAGACCACCGAUCAUCGUUUUCGACGAUGGGGCUUCGAUUCUUCUCAGCGUCCGAGGUUGUGGAAGAUGACUUUCCCAUCGUCACAUUUAUCAGGUACAAUUCUCUCUCUCCUUUCUCUUCUGAGGUUUCUCCAAUCCUCCACUGAAGCAACUCCUGGACUUUCCACUCCAUUGAAGAAGCUUGAGAGGUUAUUUGAUGAUUCUCUGAUCUCCAGAAGCGUGUGAUAGGUUUGAGCCUUUUUCUCUAAUCUGCUUACCUCAUUAUAAGUUAAGUGUUCUACAUUGGUAAGUUUUGAGUUGCUACUUGUUGGUACAUAAUUGGCAUGCUUUGUCACUUUAGAAAGAAUAAUUACCAGUGAAUGUCAACAUGUAAACUGAUGACCCUAAAAUUUCUUUUGCUAAAGUAAAGGUCUUUAUAUUGGCUUCUAAUCCAUGGAUGAUGAUGUUUAGGAAUCUAGGGCAUCCCUCCCUUUCUACACAUACCCCUCCACCACCACCACCACCACCAAUCCACCACAGUAAAAUAAGUCUUGAUAAUGUAACCAUUUGAAGCGACUUUUCAAAUAUUGGCUUUGUCUUGCUUUCAUGGGUAGAACAUGGAGGCUGGUUCAUUCAUUGGGAACUCUUAUCUUAAAUGUCAGUCUGCAUUAUUUCAUCUCAUCAUAUUGUAGAUGCUGAUAGUUGGCAAAAAGCUUAUGAGUGUAUCUCUUGCAGUUAUUAAGAUACUAUAUUAUGACUGCUGUUAUGCUCUUAAACUAAGCUAAAAUUUUGUAGAGUUGGUGGAUUUGCACUUGCAAGUUAAUGCCAAGUACAUUAAGAUUAAGACUUUGUUGUUGACCUUUGAACUAUGCGUCUAUAUGUUUUCCAUUUCUAUACAACUAUACAAGUAUAUAUGAAAUAUAUAUUUGUAAUCUUUGAACUGUAUUUUUAUCCGGGACAAAGGUCCUGACCAUUGAACAUGAAUAUGAUUUUCAGUGCCUGGCGAACUGCUGGUAGAUGUAUAAACACUAUGAAUUGCUAAACUUCUUUAUUGUGUACUUUGUCUCUGAAGAGCUUAGUAAUUUUUUAUUGAACAA